rnacentral:lncRNA from 1 species
UAAACUUUUGAAAUACCCAGUUGUUGCCCAGCUAUGCAACCCAAGAGGAGGGGUGAAUUAGAUUUUUUAAAAAUUUAAACUUAACUUACAACUAUGAAGAUUAUUUAACAAUGAGCAAGAUAAGUAUGGAGAGUGUAAUUUAUGCAAGGUAUAGAAGUUGGAUGCAAGAAUGCAAGAGGAUACAGAAAUUUAAAAGGAGAGCAAGUAAGCACAACAC